rnacentral:rRNA from 1 species
UACGUAGGUGGCAAGCGUUGUCCGGAAUUAUUGGGCGUAAAGCGCGCGCAGGCGGUCCUUUAAGUCUGAUGUGAAAGCCCACGGCUCAACCGUGGAGGGUCAUUGGAAACUGGGGGACUUGAGUACAGAAGAGAAGAGUGGAAUUCCACGUGUAGCGGUGAAAUGCGUAGAGAUGUGGAGGAACACCAGUGGCGAAGGCGGCUCUCUGGGACGGUACUGACGCUGAGACGCGAAAGCGUGGGGAGCGAACAGG